ACACUCCAUUUGGCCUGUCUAAUUUUUUAUUUUUUUUAUUUCUAAAUUUAUGUGAUUUUUCGUCUCGUGUUAUUUUUUCAAUAAAGUGUUUAAUCAUGCCUGGUAAAAAGCGCAGCUCGUCUAAGAAGCGGACUAGUCCCGUUGCAAAAGAAGUGGAGACUGUUAUUGAAGUUCCGGAAGUUUCGCUGGCACCUUCUCCUAAAAUGGCCGAAACUGAGGUGAAGAAGAACCGUAGUAAGAGCAAAUCUAAAACCAAAAGCAAAAAAGAAUAAGCUGAGCCGACGACCAGGACACGUAAUAAGCACCAAUAGUAACCAGGCACUGAAAUUCAUUCAGAAACACAAAAUACGAUAUAUGAGAAACAGAACAAUGGACUUCACUAUCAAAAGUGUGAAUUCUCCUUUUAAAAGCUGGAUUUAUACCAAAAAUUUGUCAGGACAAUAUUAAGAAUGCCUGGCCGGGAAGAGGUCGCCCAACGAAACAAGUUUGAA